rnacentral:tRNA from 2 species
CAAUGAGUAUUUUAUUAAAAUAUAAAUUUUGGAGAUUUAAGAUAUGUUCAUUACAUUUCAUUGA